GCCAAAACUAAAAGUGAACGUGUUUCAUAUUAUGUGAACACCUGGAAUAAAGUCAUUAGGACACUUUUUUUUAUACACUUUAUGUUUUAUGAUGUCUCCAGCAGGCUCGCCAUCGAUCGUGACAUCGACACAACUGCGGCCGCGGAUCAGUUUCCACGAAGGAUGCGCAAGCUGUUCCAAGUCUGGACCAAGGGUGGACUCCUCCUCCUGGCCUCCCUAUGGACUGGACUUGAAGCGUAGCUGACUUCCUCUGCGCUGUGGCUCAUUUCCUGUCCAUCUGGUCCAGCACGCUCCGCAGACGACGGCAAGUUACCGUA